rnacentral:rRNA from 1 species
UACGUAGGGGGGCAAGCGUUGUCCGGAUUUAUUGGGCGUAAAGAGCGUGUAGGCGGUUUUGGUAGGUCCGUUGUGAAAACUCGAGGCUCAACCUCGAGACGCCGAUGGAAACCAUCAGACUAGAGUCCGGAAGAGGAGAGUGGAAUUCCUGGUGUAGCGGUGAAAUGCGCAGAUAUCAGGAAGAACACCCGUGGCUAAGGCGGCUCUCUAGUACGGUACUGACGCUGAGACGCGAAAAGCGUGGGGGAGCGAACAGG